UACGGAGGAGGCAAGCGUUAUCCGGAAUUAUUGGGCGUAAAGCGUCCGCGGGUGGCGAUUCAAGUCUGCUGUCAAAGGUCGGGGCUUAACCCCGGGCAGGCAGUGGAAACUGAAUAGCUAGAGUGCGGUAGGGGCAAAGGGAAUUCCCGGUGUAGCGGUGAAAUGCGUAGAGAUCGGGAAGAACACCAGUGGCGAAAGCGCGCUGCUGGGACGGCACUGACACUGAGGGACGAAAGCGUGGGGAGCGAAAGGG
rnacentral:rRNA from 1 species